rnacentral:tRNA from 1 species
GGGGAUUUAGCUCAGUGGUAGAGCGCUUGCCUAGCAAGCUCAAGGCCCUGGGUUCAGACCCCAGCUCCG